AACGCACAUUGCGCCCCUUGGUAUUCCGAGGGGCAUGCCUGUUCGAGCGUCAUUAUGACCACUCAAGCCUGGCUUGGUAUUGGGGUUCGCGGUCCCGCGGCUCUUAAAAUCAGUGGCGGCGCUAUCUGGCUCUAAGCGUAGUAAUCUUUCUCGCUACAGAGUCCCGGUGGAUGCUUGCCAGCAACCCCUUAUUUUCUUAGGUUGACCUCGGAUCAGGUAGGGAUACCCGCUGAACUUAA
rnacentral:misc_RNA from 1 species